rnacentral:rRNA from 1 species
GAAACCAACAGGGAUUGCCUCAGUAGCGGCGAGUGAAGCGGCAAAAGCUCAAAUUUGAAAUCUGGCGUCUUUGGCGUCCGAGUUGUAAUUUGAAGAAGGUAUCUUUGGGCCCGGCUCUUGUCUAUGUUCCUUGGAACAGGACGUCACAGAGGGUGAGAAUCCCGUGCGAUGAGAUGACCCGGGUCUGUGUAAAGUUCCUUCGACGAGUCGAGUUGUUUGGGAAUGCAGCUCUAAGUGGGUGGUAAAUUCCAUCUAAAGCUAAAUAUUGGCGAGAGACCGAUAGCGAACAAGUACAGUGAUGGAAAGAUGAAAAGAACUUUGAAAAGAGAGUGAAAAAGUACGUGAAAUUGUUGAAAGGGAAGGGCUUGAGAUCAGACUUGGUAUUUUGCAUGCUGCUCUCUCGGGGGCGGCCGCUGCGGUUUACCGGGCCAGCAUCGGUUUGGAGCGGCAGGAUAAUGGCGGAGGAAUGUGGCACGGCUUCUGCUGUGUGUUAUAGCCUCUGACGAUACUGCCAGCCUAGACCGAGGACUGCGG